AUUGAACGCUGGCGGCAGGCCUAACACAUGCAAGUCGAACGGUAACAGGAAACAGCUUGCUGUUUCGCUGACGAGUGGCGGACGGGUGAGUAAUGUCUGGGAAACUGCCUGAUGGAGGGGGAUAACUACUGGAAACGGUAGCUAAUACCGCAUAACGUCGCAAGACCAAAGAGGGGGACCUUCGGGCCUCUUGCCAUCGGAUGUGCCCAGAUGGGAUUAGCUAGUAGGUGGGGUAACGGCUCACCUAGGCGACGAUCCCUAGCUGGUCUGAGAGGAUGACCAGCCACACUGGAACUGAGACACGGUCCAGACUCCUACGGGAGGCAGCAGUGGGGAAUAUUGCACAAUGGGCGCAAACCUGAUGCAGCCAUGCCGCGUGUAUGAAGAAGGCCUUCGGGUUGUAAAGUACUUUCAGCGGGGAGGAAGGGAGUAAAGUUAAUACCUUUACUCAUUGACGUUACCCGCAGAAGAAGCACCGGCUAACUCCGUG
rnacentral:rRNA from 1 species